rnacentral:rRNA from 1 species
GCGCACGGGUGAGUAACACGUGGGUAAUCUGCCCUCGAGUUUGGGAUAACCCCGCGAAAGCGGGGCUAAUACCGAAUAAGACCACGGGGACCAAAGUCCCUGAGGUAAAAGGUGGCCUCUAUUUAUAAGCUACCACUUGAGGAUGAGCCCGCGGCCCAUUAGCUAGUUGGUAGGGUAACGGCCUACCAAGGCUAUGAUGGGUAGCUGGUCUGAGAGGACGAUCAGCCACACUGGAACUGAGACACGGUCCAGACUCCUACGGGAGGCAGCAGUGGGGAAUAUUGCGCAAUGGGCGAAAGCCUGACGCAGCAACGCCGCGUGGGGGAUGAAGGUUCUCGGAUUGUAAACCCCUUUCGAUCGGAACGAAUUCCCUCCUGGUAAAUAAUCAGGAGGAUCGACGGUACCGGGAGAAGAAGCCACGGCUAACUCUGUGCCAGCAGCCGCGGUAAGACAGAGGUGGCGAGCGUUGUUCGGAUUUAUUGGGCGUAAAGCGAACGCAGGCGGUUUGGUAAGUCAGAGGUGAAAGACCACAGCUUAACUGUGGCACUGCCUUUGAUACUGCCUUUCUUGAGUAGAGUAGGGGGAAGCGGAAUUCCGAGUGUAGAGGUGAAAUUCGUAGAUAUUCGGAGGAACACCGGUGGCGAAGGCGGCUUCCUGGACUCUAACUGACGCUCAUGUUCGAAAGCGUGGGUAGCAAACAGGAUUAGAUACCCUGGUAGUCCACGCCCUAAACGAUGGGCACUAGGUGUGGGAGGUAUCGACCCCUUCCGUGCCGCAGCUAACGCAUUAAGUGCCCCGCCUGGGGAGUACGGCCGCAAGGUUGAAACUCAAAGGAAUUGACGGGGGCCCGCACAAGCGGUGGUGCAUGUGGUUUAAUUCGACGCAACGCGAAGAACCUUACCUAGGCUUGACAUCCCUGGAAUCCCCUUGAAAGAAGGGGAGUGCUCGCAAGAGA